GCCCCCGUGGUGGAACUGGCAGACAUGCAUGCUUCAGGAGCAUGUGGCCGCAAGGCCGUACAGGUUCAAAUCCUGUCGGGGGCA
rnacentral:tRNA from 1 species